GCUCCUGUGGCGCAAUCGGUUAGCGCGUUCGGCUGUUAACCGAAAGGUUGGUGGUUCGAAUCCACCCAGGAGCG
rnacentral:tRNA from 1 species